rnacentral:rRNA from 1 species
UGCGUAGGCGGUUUAAUAAGUCAGAAGUGAAAAGUCCGAGCUCAACUGGGGCCUUGCUUUUGAUACUGUUAGACUCGAAUCAGGCUGAGGUUAGCGGAAUGUGACAUGUAGCGGUGAAAUGCAUAGAUAUGUCAUAGAACACCAAUUGCGAAGGCAGCUAACUAGACCUCGAUUGACGCUGAGGCACGAAAGCGUGGGGAGCGAACAGGAUUAGAUACCCUGGUAGUCC